GUGGGGAAUAUUGGACAAUGGGCGAAAGCCUGAUCCAGCCAUGCCGCGUGUGUGAAGAAGGCCUUUUUGUUGUAAAGCACUUUAAGCGAGGAGGAGGCUACCGAGAUUAAUACUCUUGGAUAGUGGACGUUACUCGAAGAAUAAGCACCGGCUAACUCUGUGCCAGCAGCCGCGGUAAUACAGAGGGUGCAAGCGUUAAUCGGAUUUACUGGGCGUCAAGCGCGCGUAGGUGGCCAAUUAAGUCAAAUGUGAAAUCCCCGGGCUUAACUUGGGAGUUGCAUUAGAUACUGGUUGGCUAGAGUAUGGGAGAGGAUGGUAGAAUGCCAGGUGUAGCGGUGAAAUGCGUAGAGAUCUGGAGGAAUACCGAUGGCGAAGGCAGCCAUCUGGCCUAAAACUGACACUGAGGUGCGAAAGCAUGGGGAGCAAACAGGAUUAGAAACCCCGGUAGUCC
rnacentral:rRNA from 1 species